AGGUUGCUUGACCCUGCAACUCGUUAAUCACGUGACUCUCACCAUACUAGUAAUACAUGUCACGUGAGCAGAAACUGGGUCAAGCAACCUGCAAAGCACUGUACAGGGCAACUGAUAAAAGCCGGAAUAGAAACCAAAGAAACACGGAAAUGAAAUGAAACGGAGAAAUACGGAAACGGAAUCAGAUUAUCAGACUCAGUGCGCAUGCUCAAUUGCUCAUCAUUCAUCAAGUACUGAGUUUGUUGGUGUUCUCGGUGGUGUUUAUCUAGCUUCUACCCUCUAUGUCUCAAAUUCUUAGGCUUCACAGACACAAGCAAGGACCAAAAGCUAAAAGGAGGCUAUUUAGUCAAGCCCGAGGAGAAGAGAAAGAGGAGUUUUCGAGUUUUAUUAAUAAUUGACUUGACAAAUGAUUCUUGCAGUAGUAACUCUUCAAGUGAUAGCGAAUCUUUGGAAAGUCUUGUUUUUUCUCCUGUGAAGCCAAAGAUCAAGGAGAGUCCUACUGAUCUCCUUAAACAGAUUAUUCCUAAUGUUAAUGAUGAUGACUAUCACAACACUACUGCAAGGUUCCUACCAGUUCUUGCUCGACCACUUUUAGGACUAAAUGUCAAUCAGUUAUUUACGUUAAUGCUUGGUAAAAUACCAGCUGAUUUUGAAUUGUUUUAUCAAAAAAGCAAUAAUAAUUACUUUAAAAAUAAAAUAAUAA